GUAACAGUAGUGAAAAUUAUCACUUCACAUUGAUAAUGUGACAUUGCUAAAUUGCCUGUUAUU
rnacentral:tRNA from 1 species